UGGAGAACAAGGCGACAAAUGCGGUGUGGACGGCCCAGAAAAACGACGCCUGGGAUAAAGUUAGUACUGAGUUCUGUUCGCACAUAUCUGUAGUGAAACGUUCUGGACCUCAAUUGAAAAAGCAUGGGAGAACCUGAAAGGUCGUUGUAAAAAGAAGAUUUCCAAAAGGAAGAGAGCGAGAACAAAGACCGGAGGAGGCUCCAAAGACAAUUCUCUUUCGCCUACCUCUACUAAGGUCGCCGCCAUUGUACCAGCACAAAUUGUCUCACUUGCCAACAAAUAUGACGACGACGCUGAUUCAGCGGGAUCGGGUGUCGAGCUUGGAUUUGACGAGUGGUUGCGUCGUACGCUAUUUUGUCACAAUACAUUAAUUUGUGUAAUUAAAUUUGUUUCAUAUUAUUUAGGGCAAAAUGCAAAGGAGUCCAACAAGGGAACAAUGGCUAACCAUGAACAAAUUCCGACUGUCGUCCCUUCUGAUUGUACCGAGAUGAAUGAAACAUCGUUGGGAGAUUCAAUUCAGAAAACUAUUCAAGAAGUGUGUGAUAAGCCCCAGAAGACAAGAAUCACAAAACCACAAGAUCGAAAGCGCAAACUUCUUGCAGGACACGAAAUUAUAAUUUCAAUGGAGGAGUAAUUGCAAGCGAAAAAACUGAAAUUACUGGAUAUACAGAUUGACAGGGAAGAGCAAAAUGUUAAAAUGGAUGCAGAGUUUCACAAGGCGAGGAUGGAGCUAAUUCGUAUCCAGAUUAAAGAAUCAA